rnacentral:lncRNA from 1 species
AGAGGGAAGGUGUUAGCACCCAAAGUAUCCUAGGUACUCCUAGGGAGCCCUUUUUUAUGUGUGUAUGUGUUUUGGUAUAAACGAUGUUUGCAAUAAAUAGAAUGUGGGGAUGAGAAGAAAUUUCAUUAAUUAUAUUUUUGUGUUUGACAAGAGCUUCAGACUUGUGCCUACGUAUCAACAUAAAAAUGAGGGGUCAAAC